GGCCAUUUUGCAAGAUAUUGCAUGUCAUAGUAUCUGGUAUUGAAACAAAAGGUUUUAAUAGAUAAUAGAUUUCUAAAGUUUAACUUAUUUUACACAUUUAUAUUUUCCAUUCGGACAGCUACCUUGCGGCAGCAAGAAAAUUACCCUAAAGGAGCAUAUUAUGGUCAUGAGAUGGACAGCAGUAAUCAAUGCAUUGAGUAAUGAGAUGAUCAGCUGAACAUCUGACCUAGUGACUAAGAAGACUACACAUAACUCAGGCAGUUACAGUACAAGUGUACAACUCUUGAAAAGUCUGAUAGUCUAAUUCAUAUAUGACAGCAAGCGUGAACCACGCAAGAAAUGAAUUUGUAAGAAUUUGGACAUCAUCAAGCACACCGGUAACUCAGUAAGAUACUGGAGAUCUGGACAAAUCGGAGAAUUGAUUUCUGAUUAUAAUUGUAACUGAUUAUUUUUUCACCGAGAAAAAUAAAAAAAAAAUACUAUGAGAUUUCAAUAGAAAAUGAGAGAGUUGAGUAAAUUAUAGUUGCAUUUGCUCAAGGGUUUUUUUACUGUGGUAACAUAAGAUAAGAGCUGCAAUUUUAUUUUUAUUAAAGACCUGGGAUGAUGUUGUCGAGUAUUUUGAGAGUAUCGUUCGCAGGGAAGGACUGAUAUCAACACUAAUCUCAAGUCUUUUAUCUCUUGUAAUUCAGAAGUGUGUAGAAGAAUUUGGUGGGUUUUAUCUAUCAACUAGUUGAAAAGCUCUACACAACUCUUUCAGGUGUUCACCUGAAAGUGCUAGACAGGGGUCUUGGGAUCUGCUACUGCCAAUUGGCAAGGGAUUAAAAACCUACACAGUCAGUAUCACUUGAUCCAGGUUGUUCGUUGUCAGAAUCUAACAGUAGUAACGAGAGGUUAUAGUAAAGAAGAGUAUAAUACGGAACUAUCUCCUUUGUGGAGGAAAGAAACAGACUAGUAGACAACCUUCUGAAAAUUCAAAUAUCACUAAGAGACUCUCGAUUUAGAGUCAUGCGUGAAAAGUGAAGGAGGAAUGAUAUAAACAUAUACUACAUUACUUUCAUUUUUGUGCAGUUUUGACUUUGAAUAUCCGUCCAGGCAUCUUAAAAUGAGAAAGAGACUAUUAUACUGCAACUUUAGCAAAGUCGCACUAAUUGGUUUUUGAUAAGACUGGCUACAUCAGGAGAAUGUUGGCAAAUGAAAAAAACUAUGUACCUUAGCAAUCUCUCCCUUUCCAAACCAAACCAAACAAUUAACCCAGUAUAUCCCGCUUAGAGCAGGGUCUGGUGAGGGUAAAAUGUACGCAGACCAUGCCCCUACUCAUUUAGAGUAAGGAGGCUGUUUCCGUGAGACCCCCGACUUAGUGCAAAACAAAGUUUUGUGUGAAAUAUAAGUAAAUUGGACCUUGGCCCAUGAUUUCUAACACAUGGGACUCACCUCUAUCGGCAAUGCAUCUGUCCAUGAAUGAUCUGAGCCGUUGCACCUGAGCCUUGUCCUAAAAGCAUAACCUGAGCCUUUAACGCAACGAUUCUGGGCAUAUUGUGGUUUGAGCAAGUCCAGUAAGUGGCUGAUGCAUCUGCUGAGAAGUGACGAGAACGCAUCUGAUCUACAUGUACACCUGCUUCACUGUACUUAAUUGUAUAUAAAAACUACAAACAAGUGUGUUGUGGGUAACAGCAACUGGCGAGCAAUACAAACUGUAAUCAUAGUAUGUUGCGAGAUAUAACUACACUAAAUACAAACAAAGAGGAAUUGCCCAAACUUAAAACAGUGGCAUUUGACAUAAUACUAAUACAGCUAGUCACCAAUACAUACCAAUAUGAUUUAACUCCAAAUUUGUGGAAGAACCUUUAAAAAUAUUUUGCACCUUAACAAACUCUCUCCUUGCUACACUUGGGGCAAGAACUUCCUAUGCAAGAACUGGGUCCUGUUUUUCUGAUCUGAGUAGGUCCAUUGGCAUGUAGGUGGUAGAGGUAUCUGCCGAUAUACUACUUCAACUCUGUCGCAGCUGUUUGAAUAGAAAAGACAGCAAGUCCAGAAUUCUUCAUCCUGAAUAUACUUGCAUCAAAACUACCUCUUUUAAAUGAGCGCUCCGUUCUGAUCCAGUCCAAUCAUAAAAGCAAAUUAUAUACAGAGGAAAUAUUCAAAAAGGCACUUAAAUAUAUUUGUAAACACCAGCACACCACAUUUGCACUCAUUAAGAAAAUACUCUUUGAUUUUCUCGAUUAAUCACCAGAGCAACAUGAAGAGGAACAGAAGAACUCUCUGAAAUAAAAUUUGAACAAUAUUUCAUAGGACAAGUUUCAUCCAAGAGUAGUUGUUAAAUACUAAAUUUAGUAGCACAUGAGAUUCAUGUACAUGUUAUCUCAUACUAAUCAACAAUUACAACACAUACGUUAAGUAAUCUAAAAUAACUAUGGCAAGAACCUCUUACACAAAGCAAGCAAAUUUUGAUCCUGUACCCACCAUUCAAGCAAGUGCAGUAACAUGGAGGGCUUAGAAGCAUAUAUUCUGAGAAGCCGCGAGCACAAAUCUCUUCUUUAAGUACAAUUGCCCCGUUGUGCAAAAACCACAGAUAAGGGUGAUGGAGGUAGCAUCAUUUGGCAAGCAAUCAUUGCUUCCAUUUCCACAUAUGGUUCAUUUGCUUUAUUGAGUAAGCCUUCUUGACAAAAUCCCUGUAUCAUCAUUGUGUAUGUCUUCACAGUAGGUCACAAAAAUAUUUUCAAGGAAGGCUGUCAUAUAUACUUUUUGCCUUUUCAAAAUUUCACAUCUAUUAGACAUUGGGCCAUUAACAAAGAAACCAAAGAAAAUUUUUGAACUUAACUGAGUUGAGGGACUCCUAAGAGUAGCUUAACAUAUUGUUGUAUUUCCUCGGAGUGAUGAUUAGUGAUUACAGACAAUAAAAAAAAUCGAAAAAACUGGAUGCGUAAACAACAAAGGACCAGUAGGAGAACUGCAAACUUUACAACACUUGUAUCGAACUAAUCCUGGCAAAAUCGAAAAGAUUAUGUCCCUGGGCACUCUCUUCCUUUUAAACACUUAUGGAUCGGAGAGUACUUAUCACGCAAGGCAAGGAGAGGAGGAUCCGGUUCUUGCACUUCAAGUAAGUCCACUAAUGCAGAUGCUGUAGAUGCAUCUGCUGCAAAGCUGUGACCAAGCAUUUCAUCUAGGAAUACACCUGCUUCAUAGUACUUCUUAUUAUGUAAACAACCACGGAUAAGCAUGUUGUAUGUGACAUCAGUAGGCAAGCAAUCAUUAGCUUCCAUUUCCCUGAAUAGUUCAGUCGCUUCAUUCAAUAACCCUCCAUGAAAAUAUGCUUGGAUCAUCAUUGUGUAUGUCUUGACAUUAGGUCGCAGACCUUUCGCAGGAAGGUUGCUAAAAAGAGUUCUUGCUGCUUCAAGUUGUCCGUUUUUGCUUAAUCCAUCAAUCAGAAUGGUGUAAAUAUAUAUAUCAGGAACUAGCCCACUGCAUUCCAUCAUUUGGAAAAAGGACAGUGCUUCACGAACACAACCGUUCUUGCAAAGACCAUCCAAUAAAAUAGCGCAAGUCACUUUAUCCAACUGAAGACCUUUGUUCAGCAUCAUCUUUUCCUUAAAAAAUUUACGUGCUUCAACAUGUCUACCCGCACGAAAAAAACCUUGCAGUAUAGUAUUGUAAGUCUCAGUAUUUGGGGUUAAACCUUCAGAGGGCAUUUGUUGAAAAAGAUCUAUUGCUAUGUCCACUUUCAACUUUUUACAAUAACCAUUGAUGAGGAUAUUAUAGCUAAGUGUAUCAGGCAAUAUUGCCUUUCUCUUCAUGCUUUCAAACACUGCUAAUGUUUUAUCAACCUCUCCCCUCAAGCAGUAUCCAUCCAUUAGUGCAUUAUAUGUUACUACAUCAGGACAAUGGCCCCUUUGAGUCAUCAACUCUAUCACAUCCUCCGCAUCUUCAAUCAUUCCUUCUUUGCAAUACGCAUCAACCAAUAUGUUGUAAGUAAAAACAUCUCGAGAAAUGUUCCUAACAUUCAUCUCCUUGAGCAAUAGUUUGACAUCAUGCCAUCGAUUUAUGUCACACAGACCUAGAAUUAAUGAGUUGUAGGUUAUAACAUUUGGGGAUAUGCCUUUCCUUGUCAUUUGGUGGAGAAGACCCAAUGCUUGAUCAACCAAUCUAUGCUUACACAAACAGUCAAUAAGUGUGUUGUAAGUUACGGCAUCAGGCUUGCAACCUUUCUUGACCAUAUAUUUGAACAACUUAACAGCCACAGAAGGAUUCCCUCUCUUGCAGAUGCCGUCAAUGAUUGUGUUAUAGGUUACAACAUCGGGUUGAAUAAGUUUAAAUGUGAUGAGGUUCUGGAACAAAAGCUGAGCCUCAUGAGGCAUAUCUUGGGAAAUAAGGCCCCUGAUGAGAGUGUUAUAGGUAAACACAUCAGGAACAAAACCGUACUUAAUAAUUCCAGCCAGUAAUGAAAAGGCAAAUUCGACAUGAUUCAAGUGACAAAAGCAGUUAAUGAGAGUAUUAAAGGUAAUUACAUUAACAGGGAUGCUUUCUACACGCAUCUUUCUAAAAACAGAGACAGCUACUGAGUAGUGUUUCAUUUUAACAAGGGCGGCUAACAGUUGAUUGAAGUCGAUAACAUUAGGCAGAGGUUUCAUACUGAGCAUUUUAUCAAACACUUGGAGAGCAUCAUCGAGUUUAUCGAAACCAACCUUGGAUUUCUCAAGGAGUAGAUGUUGAAGUCGAGCAUGAGUUGGAUGAGAUGAAUAAGGGAAAUUAUUAGGGUUUGGUUUAGUGGAGAAGCGAGAAAGCGAAUACAAAUCAAAGCAACAAGUGAAAUUACCAGAAGAAUGUGCAAGUAGUAACUGAGAUUUCAAUGGACAGAAGGUCCUCAUCAGUCUCUUCAUCAUCAUCUUUGAAUUUCUCUCUUUCACUGUCUGCUCUUUAUCUACAAACUCUGCUCUUCUUGUAAAUUGUAAUGUUGUGUAUUUUCUGUUUCACUGCGAUUGUGUGCUUCAAUGUUAAAAUUCUCUGUAAUUUUGUAUCACCAUCCGAAUCUGAAACCGGAGAAUAAUAUAAUUAUAUAUAUAUAUAAUUUUAUAUAUUACAUGUCGUAUUAAAUUAUAUAACACAAUUAUAUAUUAUUUUAUAUACUGGAGAUUAUACAAUAUACAUAUUAUUGUAUAAUUAGAAUAUGUAUUUUUCUUAAAGUUAAAAAUUGGCUAAUAAUAAACUUUAACAAAAUUAAAUUAUUGUAUAAUUCAAAUGGUUGAUACAGUGAACUAAAAUUUUCUAGAAACAAAUAUUGUUAAUUGAUUUGAUUAAUAAAAUUUUAGUUAUUCAUUUAUAAACCAAACUGAUAUUGAUUUCGAGUGCUUGUAAUUUUUAUAAUCAUAAAUAAUCAGUAAUUAAAAAUAUUUUCCGAUUUCAGGUUCAGGUUUUAGGUUUUAGAUAUUCAAUAUAAAAAAAAAAUCAAGUUUCGUGUAUACCCGAAAUCCAAUCCGAAAUUCAUAGGAUUAGGUUCAACUAUUCAUUUUAGAUAUUUUUCGAGUUCAGAUUGAAUCUGGGAUGGAUAAAAAAUUCGGAGUUUGAAUAUGUAUUUUGUCAUACCAUUCCUCAUACUUGAUCCAAUUCAAUAGUCAUCCCUAGUCCAAACAGGUCCAAAACGAUUAUAUUUUAACCGAUUCAAAUAAAAAAUUUCAAUCCUACAUAUACCCGGAUUAAAAGUACACCUAUAAAUUUUGAUUUUCUCAAACUGACCCAAUCUAAAAUGUCCGAUUAAAAUUGGAAUAGUUAAAAAUCAAUACUAUAACUAAAAAAAACACCAAAUGAUAUACAUAUGUCAGCUUCUCCUUCAAUUGCUAACAUCAUCUUUCACUUAUUAUUUGAUUAAUUAAUUAAUUAAUUAAUUAAUUUGUUUUCUCUUUCUCAUUAAUUACAAUCUCCACUUAUUCCCUCUCAUACUCAUUUCUCACCUACUUCAUCAUUUUUCUUUAACUAAAAGUUAAAAUAAUUUUUCUUCCAUUCUCAUUUCUCAACUAUUUUUAGAUCUUAAUUUAAUUUUUUUUUAAAAUGCUUAUCGAUUAUUUUAUAUUUUUAAUUCAAAAAAAAUCAUAAUCACGAAUAUUCAAAUAUUUUAGUUAUCACUUUAAUUUUUUGUUUAAAAUUAUUUAAUUUGAAAUAUACUCCAUCCACUCUAUUAAAACUUACAUAACUUAUAAUAUAUAAAUAUAAUCAGGUUAUAUAAAGUAUGAGAAAAACAUUAUUAAAAAUUAUAUUUAAUUUAACUCUCAUAUUUAAUUUUAACACUUUUAAAAUUAUACAUAAAUAUUAACUUGUAGUCAAACUUGAAUUUAAACAUCGCAUAGGUUAUGAAUCAGACAGGAAACUCAUUCCAUAACCUUAGUUUCAGCUUGUGUUUUUACUUUUCAGUUUCGGACUUUCUUUUUUCAUUUUGUAAUAUGAAGAAAAUAAUAAUAACAUGACAGCAAUCCAAUCCAACCCACAGGUUCAUUUGCCUCCCUUUCCAGUAAUCCACAUUCUGAUACUAUUCCAGAGCAUCCAUCUUUCCGGAUUAAUAAAUACUAUAAAAGAUGGAAUAAAGUUUUUCUCAAAAGUAGGGACAAUUUGGAGAGAGAAUGUCAAUAGUACGAUUUUCCACGUGACACGAAAAUUAAACGAAAAUUUAGUGUUUGUGUUUUCAUUUUGAGUACACGGCACAAAAAAUACUAGAACACUAAGUACACGACUGACGUGUAAUGUCGGUUUUGUGUUUGCCCUUUGAGUACACGACACGAGUUACACGAAAUAAAUAUAAUUUAUAAUUAAAUAUUAAUAUUUAAUUAUAAAUAUGUAUAAUUAUAAUAAAUAAUUAAAUAUAUGUUAUUUUCUUUUAAAAUAAUGGAUAGUUUAUAAUAUUGUAAGUAUAAGUGACUCAAAUGUAUAUAUUUCAUAUAAUUUUGUAAAAUUUUUACCUAGAAAUCUAAUACUUACAUUAUUUUAUAUAUUUAUUUAUAUUUAUUAAAUAUUUCAGUUCAACUUUACACGAAACACGAUGAGAACGACCCGGAAACGGAGUUACACAACACGAAAAUACAUGAACACUGAAUGGUCGGUGGUCGGUUUUGUGUUUGGUUUCUAAGUACACGACACCGAAGUAUACUAUACGAACGGAUCGUCGGGUCUAGAAAAGAGUGCUUCGCUUUUUGACCUAUAAAUUCAGGCUCGCUUAAAAAAACUAAUACAAUGGUUAACAUGAUGCAUGGGACACCAAAAUAAGACACUCAACUUGACGUUUAUGAUAUGUUAAUGUACUGUAGUUUGGCUAUACACCUCUGUACCCAUUGCACACCUUGCUGCGUACACAGAAUAUCAAGUCUUCCAUUUGAAUUUCGGAAAGAAAAAUGUUUCAUCAGUACCAAGCACACAUCUGAAGACUUUUGAAACAGAAUAUUGCUAUAUAUACAGAAACAUUCUAAACAAUAGAAAAUCUACUAACCUGCCUCUGUCAUUGUGUCGCUCAUUGAGACAAGAUGACUAUUGGUUUCCAGUUGGUCAUGGUAUUACCAAUAUUCAUGGCUUUGUCAUUCUUUGGCAUGUAUGAGGCCAGGGCUGGCCGGCUUCUUAUGAAUGCACCGUUCCAGCUUCCCGCCAUCCCCAACUUCCCGUUCCCUCCUUCCCUGGGAUCCCAGGUAAACUUUUUCUUCAUUAUAUGUUUAAUUGGUUCCGGAGAUGAGCUUCAUAUUUACCUAUACGGUUAAUGGUGCUCUCUCGUCCUCAAACUUAUUAUUGUCAUGCACUGUAACCCUGGAAGUUAUGAUCACGGCAUUUUCUUUGGUUACUUUGUCAAUGACCUGUGAAGGGGUUCAUAACCUUAACAUUUCUUCUGAAUGUCAGUGGUACUAAUGCCAUUGCUAGGUGUAAGGUGUUGCCAACUUAGGAGGAUAAAUAUGUUAAUUUUGAACUACAUGGACAAAAUAUUAGCAUGUUAUAGACUCAGAGGACGGGAGGUGUUAUAUAUCUUCUGAUUAUAAAUCUCUGCUUAACAGCAUAAACACGUAUUAUAAUAUAAUAGUAAAGCAAGUUAUUUCAGCUUUUAUUUUACCCUCGAAAAUUAUCCUCUGGACAAUGUAGUUCUAGAUCAUUAUUUUCUAGAUGUAAAAGCUAACAGCACCACUCGCAUAUUGUCCUGCUUUACUGUUCGUGUGUAUGGUAGAACUCUCAAGUUUUGAGGGAUUCACAAAGUAGUGGAGAAUAGCAUGACAACGAGUCAACGACAUAUGUGGGUGAAAAUUCUUUACUAUUGAUAUUCAUAAUCACUAUGGGUUGCAUUCUGUUAUUGAAAGAAAGUUAUCCAGUUAGGCUACGAUGUUAAGGAUGAUUGUGAAGUCAGGGGAACACACAAAUUUACUACUCAAGAAAGUUCGAUUCAAAUUUUUUAUAAUCCACUCUAGAAAUAUUUCAAGGUGUUUUAUGAUGACUUACAAACAAAUGCAGUGGUUUAUUAUGUCGAUUGGGACUUCAACACAAAAGAUUGGCCUUCUGGGAAACCCUUUCACGCAGGUGACAUAAUCGGUAAGCCAGCAAUAAUCUGUUAAAUCAUGGAAUUUAACACCAUUGUUGCAUAUCAACAUAAAAAUCAUCUUCACUUUAACUGAUCAAAUUUUUACAUUUUUUUGAUUGGUUUUCAUUUGCAGUAUUUAACUACAAUAGAAAUCUGCAUAAUGUGGUUACAAUAAAUGAGACCAAAUAUGAAGAUUACCUGAACUGUGUUGUAUCUGACAAGGCAAACAUCCUGAGCACCGGAAAAUGGAAAUGAUGCAAUAACGCUGCAAAAUGGAGUCAACUACUUCAUUUGUGGUACAAUGGGCCACUGUACUGCUGGAAUGCAGAUAGCUAUUGUUACGACCUAAUUAACUUUAAGCUAAUAGCAGAUUAUUGUAAUCCAUGUGAUGCUAAUUGUAAUUAUAAGAACAAUAUGCUUGAUAUAAUAUCUACAUUAAGUUUACUUACUUCAAACUUUGGUCAUUGUCUACGUUAAAAUAUGUUGGUGAUAACGCAAGAAAAUGUGUUCAAUAUUAUACCAUGAGCCAACAAUUUCUUACAUUCUACUUUUUGGCAAUCAUUAUUCUUAUCUGGCAAGAACAACUUAAACAAGGGAAAAAAAACAAAAAUCGAUAAUGUACCUCUAUCGAUUAGGCUUCUUUAAAUGGAAGCCGAGAUGCAUCUUUGAAGAACCGGUAAAAACUAAAAACUUUGGGCUAAAAUGAAUAGAAAUGCUUCACUGUACUUCUUAGUUUGAAUACCUUCACAUUCGAGUAUAAUGUGGGUCAUUAUCUGGCAAGCAAUCAUUUCAGCUUCAACUCCUCCAAACAGGGCAUUAUUUCGUCAAACCUUCUCGACAAAUCCUUACAUCAGCAUUGUGUAUGUCCUGUUUUUGCAGUCGUUGAAAGUAAGUUAACAUAAAGAUAUUUGGCAUUGUAAACCUCUUCGUUUCCUGCACAACUUGUCAAGCAGGAUAUUAGACAUGAAAAUUUCAGGAAUGAAAUCACUGAAUUGCAUCAACUGAAAGGACAGUGUUUCAUUAACAAAUAAGUACUGCAAAGGCCAUUUUGCAAGAUAUUGCAUGUCAUAGUAUCUAGUAUUGAAACAAAAGGUUUUAAUAGAUAAUAGAUUUCUAAAGUUCAACUUAUUUUACACAUUUAUAUUUUCCAUUCGGACAGCUACCUUGCACCAGCAAGAAAAUUACCCUAAAGGAGCAUAUUAUGGUCAUGAGAUGGACAGCAGUAAUCAAUGCAUUGAGUAAUGAGAUGAUCAGCUGAAAAUCUGACCAAGUGACUAAGAAGACUACACAUAACUCAGGCAGUUACAGUACAACUCUUGAAAAGUCUGAUAGUCUAAUU
rnacentral:lncRNA from 1 species